AUUGAACGCUGGCGGCAGGCCUAACACAUGCAAGUCGAGCGAGCGGCGGACGGGUGGGUAAUGUAUGGGGAUCUGCCUGAUGGCGGGGGAUAACUACGGGCAACGGUAGCUAAUACCGCAUACCAUCAGAUGAACCCAUAUGGGAUUAGCUAGUAGGUAAGGUAACGGCUUACCUAGGCGACGAUCCCUAGCUGGUCUAAGAGGAUGAUCAGCCACACUGGGACUGAGACACGGCCCAGACUCCUACGGGAGGCAGCAGGGGGGAAUAUUGGACAAUGGGCGGAAGCCUGAUGCAGCAAUGCCGCGUGUGUGAAGAAGGCCUUCGGGUUGUAAAGCACUGUUAGCGAGGAGGCGUUACUCGCAGAAGAAGCACCGGCUAACUCCGUGCCAGCAGCCGCGGUAAUAC
rnacentral:rRNA from 1 species